rnacentral:tRNA from 1 species
CUAAAGGUGGCAGAGUAGUACUGCAAAAGACUUAAGAUCUUUAUACAGGGGUUCAAGUCCCCUCCUUUAGA